GUCAGGCCCCAAAGGUCAUGGAGGAGGGGCUGAGUGCUAGGUUUGGUUUGGGGAGGGGGUACUGGGUCAGAAAGACACCUCAGCUCAUGAGACAGAGGCUCAUGGCUGAUGGCCUAGAGCAGAUGGCAGGCCUCCUUUUGAGGGAAAGAGAGGAGUGCCUAUGAGUUCCACAAAAGCCGUAUUCCUGCUGCAUCCCUGAGCUUAAAACCAUGCAUGGUACAAAGUAGGCUCUUGAAGAGUUUAUGGAACAAUUGAAUCAAUGAUUAAACAGAUGAGUCAUUUUGACGAAGCUGAGAUGACUGGGAGAACCAUACACAUUUACUAGGCUGGGCAUGUAUGUGGGUUGGGAGCAAGUCUCUUCCUUGAACUGAGCUUCCUUCUUCUCAACUGUAAAAAGAAGAGGUUCCCUAGAAGCAAAUCCAAGUUGAAGGUAUUCAGAUUCCUUCCCCCAGGAAGGCUGUGCUUAGCACAAGCACAAGGGUGCUUGGCAUCCAUCACUGUCCCAGCAGACUGCAAGGAGGGAGGAACAGGCGGCGUGGUGGUGGGAACCUUUGCCUUGGACCAGCUCCAAAGCCUCCAUCAUCCCUCCUUGGCUGAUUUAAGUGCUUAAUUGUUUCUGGUUUUAAAAGUCCUUUCCCUGAAGCCACAUUUAGUGAGUAAUCAAUACGGAAAACCGCAAGUGAACUGCACUCAGAAAGUCCAAUCCCUGUGGCUCCCCCUUGAAAGGAAAGAAACAUUCAAUAAGCAUUUACCAGAGUAGCCAUUAAUAGUAAUAUCCUCAGAACAACCUGAUGAGGUAGGUUUUAUUACCCUCACUUCACUGGGUAAUAAUAACACUUGUUUUUUUAUUAAGCAUACACUGCAUGCUAGUCGCUGUUCUAACCACUUGCCGUGGGAUCACAGUUAUUCCUUCCAACAAUCCUACAAGGUACGGACUAUCAUUAACCCUAGUUUAGAAAUUAGAAAACGGAGGCUUUGAGAGCCUGUUGUUUUCGUCUCCUAUGACAGAGCCUUGAUGUGAGAGAUCAGAGAUUUGAUGUGAACCCAGAUUGGUGAUUCCACAGUGUGACCCCUAAAGGCUAUGCUGUCUCUCCCGCGUUCAUUCAGCCAGUCAGCUGCUGAGUAUUUAGCAAAGGCUGACCACGGCCAGAGCUUUAGGAAAGAUCCUGAGCUACAAGGUGAGUGAAAACCAGACGUGGUCCCCACCCUUAUGUCUGGCAGGGAAGACAGAUGUUAAAUAAAUGACUCAGUUCAUUUUUUUUUUUUUUUUGGCCACACCCACAGCAUGCAGAAAUUCCUGGGCUAGGGCUCGAACCUGAGCCACAGCAGUGACAGCGCUGAAUCCUUAACUGCUAGGCCACCAGGGAACUCUUCAUUAUUUAACUUAUGGGCCACUGUAGCAUAUGCUGUGGAGCCUAUGCCAGCCUAUAACAGGGGGAUCUGGCCUGGACAGAGAAGUGAGGGAAGACUUCCCGGGAAAGUUGGUUGAGCUCAGAUCAGAAAAAUGAGUUGGCAUUAGCUAGGUGAAAGGGCAGGGAGAGUGUCCUAGACAGAGGAAAUAGCAUGUGUAAAGGCCCUGUGCAGGGAGAGAGGAUGGCACAUCUUAGGAGCUGGAAGGACAGCGCAGGUAUAGAAUUUGAGACACGAGCUGUGGCCAACCAGGCAGCGCCUUGAACUUUUUCUGAGAACCACAUAAAGCUGUGAAGUGUGUUAAGCAGAGUGUGACACUAUCCAUUUCCAUUUUGCAAAGAGUAGCUAGGUGAAGGGGCAACGUGGAGCAUGACUUAGAAGGUGCAAGAAUGAGUAAGAAGGGACCUGGUGGGGGCUAAUGGUAAUAUGGUGUGGGAGCAGGGCUGCAGUGGUGUGGGGGGGGAGCAGAGAAAAAUGAGUGGAUUUGAGAACUAAGUAAAGACUACAACUGGCGGGGCUCACAAUGGGUCGGUGUGGACGCAGGGGGUCUGAUGUUUUUCUUCUGACACCAAAUUUGUGUGAGGUUUUCCCCACUCCAACAACCAGUUCUCCAUUAAACUGAGGCCAUUGCACCAGGGCCCGCAAUUCAGCUCAGUUCUGACACUAACUACCCACCUGGAGUGGGUGUCGGACUCCAUGGUUUAAGGGAUCAGUCCCCCCAAGUCUGUCCUCACUUCAGACCCAGUCCCAAGGCCCAGGCCCUCUGCCUUUCUGUCUGACUUGGCCACAAAUCCAGGAGUUCCCAUGACCACUCACUCGCCUCGGGUUCAAUAACUUGCUAGGACAAAGUGCAGAAUUUAGGGAAGCACUUGACUGUUACUGAUGUGUUAUAAAGGAUCCAGCUCAGGAACAUCCAAACAGAAGAGAGGCACAGGGCAAGGCAUGGGGGGUGGGAGCGAAGGCAGGGCAGGCCCAGAGCUUCCGCAUUCUCCCCAGGCCACCGUCCCAACCCCCCAUCCAGUCUUUAGCAGGUUUAUGGAGGUUUCAUCGCACAGGCGCGAUGAAGUCAUUGGCUAUUGAUGACUGAACCCAAUCUCCAGCCCCUCUCCCCUCCGGGAGGUGGUGGAGGGGGGGCUCUGGGGGAGCUGAAAGUUCCAACCUUCUAAUCAGAGUUGAGUACUUUCAGCCACCAGCCCCCCAUUCUGAAGCUACCUAGACGCAACCUCUUACCCACCCCCCGCCCCGGGUCAGGUCAUCUGAGAUUCUGAGGGUUUCAGGAGUUCUAUGCCAAGAACCCGGGAACAAAGAUCAAAAAAAUAUAUAAAAUGAUUAUCACACCGCAGGGGGUAAAGGGAGAGGUCAAGGUGACUUCAGGGCCAGCAUCCCACCUCUGGCUCAGCCUUGGGCCACCGGCUCUCCCAGGGCCUGCCUGACCCCAGACCCCGGCUGGGAGCCGGGAUCUCCUCCUCUUCUCUCUUCUUUCUCCAGGAGAUCGUGACUGCUUUGAGCUGUGGCAAGAACAUCGUGCCUGUCAUCGAUGGCUUUGAGUGGCCAGAGCCCCACACCCUGCCUGAGGACAUGCAGGCCGUGCUCACCUUCAAUGGCAUCAAGUGGUCCCACGAGUACCAGGAGGCCACCAUUGAGAAGAUCAUCCGUUUCCUGCAGGGCCGCUCCUCCCGUGACUCGUCGGCAGGCUCCGACACCAGUUUGGAGGGUGCUGCACCCAUGGGCCCAACUUAAGCAGUUCCAAGUUCCCAAGCCCUAGCGUGACCCCUGUUUCUAUCAUUCCCCACAAUGGAGCAGCUCCUCGAACUGGCCUCCCUGGGCUGAGACAGCCUGGGCUCUUCUCAGGAAUUGGGCUCAAACCCAAUUUCCUUAGCCCAGAAAGUGAGGGUGCGACCAACACCCAGGCCUACCACCAGGUCCUGUCUCAGGCACGGGAGUGUCACUGCUCAGCUCUGGAGACCCUGGAGACUGAGGGUUCGCUGCACACUCCCUUCCUGCCCUGCCAGCCUGUGCGGGGUGAAGGCAGGUGCCCUCCGAUACAGAUUAGUGCAAUGCCCAGCCCUUGAUGCCAAGGCAGAGUCUGAGCCCAGGAGCCAGCCAGGGAUGAGAGUCCAGCCGUGGCUCUCCACCCAGACUGUGCCUGGCCCCUGGGCUCACCGCUCCCUGCCGCCCUGUGGCCUUGCCCUGUAACCACUCAGUGUCCUUAGCUGGCCUGGUCCCCUCCCAGCCUUCCAGAUGUGCAGGCUCCUUUGCUACAUCUAUGUCUGGGUCAGGGUCAGGAUGAGCCGGCCCACACUCGCUGGUGGAUGGGAGACCCCUGCUUGGAUCUGGGCAGGGGAGGCUGUGCCUUGAAGGGCAGCUGGCCACCCGACCUGUGCCUUGGUGCUGCGCCCCAGGCCUCUGCCCCAGCCUGGCCCCAUGGCCUUCCCCACCCCCUCACUCACCUGCUCAGGGGAGGGGAGGUGAAGCAGCAGCCUGAGCAGAACUGCAGCUGCAGGGGAAGAGGCAAGAUCCUGAAGCAGGGCCAGGGGUGCAUUCGAAUCACCUGGGAAUUCUGCAAAGAGUCCAUUCAGGAGACCCAGGGCGUGGCCCGAGUUUCAGCAUUUCUCACAAACUCCCAGCUGAGCUGACGCUCGCAACCAAGAAGUGACAUCUCAGGAGCAAGGGUCUGAGACGCCCAUGUCACCACGUUUGCCAUUUCCCUGACACUGUGCUCCAGGGUCUCUAAUCAUCAGAGCCCCCCUACCUGGUUUUAUCUCCAUCUUACAGACAAGGAACUAAAAGACGUGCCCAGCUUCUCGCCAUCGGUGGCAGCAUCAGGAUGCAGACCCAGCCUCCAGGUGCUCAGUCCACUGCCGCCAGGGGGUGGGACUGCUCUCCUGAGAACCAUCCUGGAGGCUGAAGCCUGGGCAGGGCUGUUGCUCCACAGGCGGCUGGCUUUCCUUUUGUCCCAAAGAAUCUAGCUGCGGGGGACAGGUUUUUAUAACAGAAGGCUGCCCCAGGGCUAUACAGAAAGAACCGAGUAGGAGUGUCGCCCAGCCCCUUCCUCCACCAGGGUAGAACAGCAAGAAAGUAUCCUCCUUCCACGGAAGCCAGGUCCCAGCUCCUGGGCUCAGCUGGCACCUGCCCUGCCUCUCACCUCCCAAGUGCAGUGAGUUCACACUUGAAGGCUGGCUCAGCCCCGAGAUGCCUCCUGCAGGUGCUGGCCAGGUCACCCUGAGCUCUUGGCAGCAGCUGCAGGCUUGGGAAUUCCUCCGUCCAGUCCCUUCCCUGUCUUUAGCCAGUCCUCUGACUGCACCUGACCUCCUUCCUUCAUGCCACACGAACACCCACCAGUGCCAGGCCUUGGAUGCCAUGGUGACGGAGGUAGGCUGGAUGUUGCCCUCCGAGAGCUGAGACAAUAAUAAUAAUAAUAAUAAUAAUGUGUGAUGAGUCUCCUU
rnacentral:lncRNA from 1 species